UGGGGAAUAUUGCACAAUGGGCGCAAGCCUGAUGCAGCCAUGCCGCGUGUAUGAAGAAGGCCUUCGGGUUGUAAAUGUUACUUUUCAGCGAGGAGGAAGGCAUUGUGGUUAAUAACCGCAGUGUUUGACGUUACUCGCAGAAGAAGCACCGGCUAACUCCGUGCCGCAGCCGCGGUAAUACGGAGGGUGCAAGCGUUAAUCGGAAUUACUGGGCGUAAAGCGCACGCAGGCGGUCUGUCAAGUCGGAUGUGAAAUCCCCGGGCUCAACCUGGGAACUGCAUUCGAAACUGGCAGGCUAGAGUCUUGUAGAGGGGGGUAGAAUUCCAGGUGUAGCGGUGAAAUUGCGUAGAGAUCUUGGAGGAAUACCGGUGGCGAAGGCGGCCCCCUGGACAAAGACUGACGCUCAGGUGCGAAAGCGUGGGAGCAAACA
rnacentral:rRNA from 1 species